rnacentral:rRNA from 1 species
GACAGAGGAUGCAAGCGUUAUCCGGAAUGAUUGGGCGUAAAGCGUCUGUAGGUGGCUUUUUAAGUCCGCCGUCAAAUCCCAGGGCUCAACCCUGGACAGGCGGUGGAAACUACCAAGCUGGAGUACGGUAGGGGCGACCGGAACAAACGGUGGAGCGGUGAAAUGCGUAGAUAUCGUUUGGAACGCCGAUGGUGAAAACAGGUCGCUGGGGCUGUGCUGACGCUGAGACACGAAAGCCAGGGGAGCGAACGGG